rnacentral:rRNA from 1 species
AAACCAACAGGGAUUGCCUUAGUAGCGGCGAGUGAAGCGGCAAAAGCUCAAAUUUGAAAUCUGGCUCUUUCAGAGUCCGAGUUGUAAUUUGAAGAAGGUAUCUUUGGGUCUGGCUCUUGUCUAUGUUUCUUGGAACAGAACGUCACAGAGGGUGAGAAUCCCGUGCGAUGAGAUGAUCCAGGCCUAUGUAAAGUUCCUUCGAAGAGUCGAGUUGUUUGGGAAUGCAGCUCUAAGUGGGUGGUAAAUUCCAUCUAAAGCUAAAUAUUGGCGAGAGACCGAUAGCGAACAAGUACAGUGAUGGAAAGAUGAAAAGAACUUUGAAAAGAGAGUGAAAAAGUACGUGAAAUUGUUGAAAGGGAAGGGCUUGAGAUCAGACUUGGUAUUUUGUAUGUUACUUCUUCGGGGGUGGCCUCUACAGUUUAUCGGGCCAGCAUCAGUUUGGGCGGUAGGAGAAUUGCGUUGGAAUGUGGCACGGCUUCGGUUGUGUGUUAUAGCCUUCGUCGAUACUGCCAGCCUAGACUGAGGACUGCGGUUUAUACCUAGGAUGUUGGC